UCGAGCGCACCUUCGGGUGAGCGGCGGACGGGUUAGUAACGCGUGGGAACGUACCCUUUUCUACGGAAUAGCCUUUGGAAACGAAGAGUAAUACCGUAUACGCCCUUUGGGGGAAAGAUUUAUCGGAGAAGGAUCGGCCCGCGUUAGAUUAGAUAGUUGGUGGGGUAACGGCCUACCAAGUCUACGAUCUAUAGCUGGUUUUAGAGGAUGAUCAGCAACACUGGGACUGAGACACGGCCCAGACUCCUACGGGAGGCAGCAGCGGGGAAUCUUAGACAAUGGGCGCAAGCCUGAUCUAGCCAUGCCGCGUGAGUGAUGAAGGCCUUAGGGUCGUAAAGCUCUUUCGCCUGUGAUGAUAAUGACAGUAGCAGGUAAAGAAACCCCGGCUAACUCCGUGCCAGCAGCCGCGGUAAUACGGAGGGGGUUAGCGUUGUUCGGAAUUACUGGGCGUAAAGCGCGCGUAGGCGGAUUGGAAAGUUGGGGGUGAAAUCCCGGGGCUCAACCCCGGAACUGCCUCCAAAACUGCCAGUCUAGAGUUCGAGAGAGGUGAGUGGAACUCCAAGUGUAGAGGUGAAAUUCGUAGAUAUUUGGAAGAACACCAGUGGCGAAGGCGGCUCACUGGCUCGAUACUGACGCUGAGGUGCGAAAGUGUGGGGAGCAAACAGGAUUAGAU
rnacentral:rRNA from 1 species